rnacentral:lncRNA from 1 species
UCCAACCGCCUCGGCCUCCCAAAGUUCUGGGAUUACAGGUCUGAGCCACCAUGCCCGACCAAGAAGUCAUCUAUAUUAGAUCUACUCUUUGGAAUCACUGAGGUUUUGUGUCCUUUCAUGUGGUAAGUUAAUAUAAUGAAUUUUCUGUAUCCUUUGCCUGAAUUUCCCAUACUGUUUCCUCUUUAAAUUUGAAUGUUGUGUUGGUACAUAGUCUGGCCUAUGGAUUUUUCAGUGGUGAUUAUAUCUUGUUAAAUUUCCUUCUUGGUCUCCUUUAAUGCUUUUGGCCUUUCUUUUAAUCUUGUCUGAUUAGACUGUGUCACCUUGGUCUUGUGUGUUGUUUGUCUUUACCUGGUGUAUUUUUGCCCUAUGAGUAUAUCUUAUCUUCUUACACACUUUGAAAUAAUUUUAGAUUCAUAUAGACUUCCAAAAAUUGUACAGGAGUUUCUGUCACUCCAUGAGUGAGUGGAUAAAGAAAUUGUGGUACAUCCAUGCAGUGGAAUACUAGUCAGCCAUGAAGAAGAACACACAUAAAACAACUUGAAGGGACCUUACAGGUAUUAUGCUUAGUGACAAAAGCCAGUCUUAAAAGGUUCUAUACCAUGAUUCCAUUUAUGUAACAGUAUUGAAGGAACAACAUUAUGGUGAUGAAGAAGGGAUUAGAGGUUGCUGGGAUUAGGAGGGUGUUACUAUAAAAAGUAAGGAGGAGUUUUUCAGGGGCGAUGGAAGUUUUGCCUCCUCAUUGUAGCAGUGGUUACCUGAAUUGAUGUGUGUCAUACAAUUUCAUAGAACUUGUGUUGUGGGGGGCAGGAAACCACUCUCAGACCCAGUGAUUGGCUAGAAAGACUCAGGACUCAGAAACUGUUGAGCUCAGAGGGAGAGGGUGACCAGUCUCUGCAGUUGCAGCCCUGGGGCUGUUCUAAUCUGUAUCUUUUCCUGGUAAUAGACAUGGCUGUGAGCAUGACAGGUGUCAGUGAGCUCUGUGUGCCUCAUCAACGAAUCAUCCAACCUGAAGGUGGUUGUGGGAAACUCUUGGACCUGCAGUCAGUAUCAGAAGGCCUGGGCAGACUUGGCCAGCCACCUGGAGCACUGUGCCCUUAAACUCAGGGCAUUCACUGGUGACCCACACUGACACUGCUUUUUGGAGGACAAGGCAGAGUUGACCAUCCCAGUCUUGCCUGGAGGUCAUAGGACCGUUGUCACUGCAGCCUCAGGUCUGAUGCAUAAUCCCAUGACCCUCCAGAUCUGAGCCAUGACCCACUCUGGGCCCUGCCGGCGGGGAGGCGGUGGGCCCAUGGGGGCUGCCUCACUGGCCUCCCUCGUCCUCUAUUCCGGGUUGGGGUUGGCUCUCAGCACACUGGGGAAAAGGGUGGGGUCGAUGACUUGUCCCUGGCUCCCUCCCCUUGCCCCAUGCCUGCCAUAACCGCAGCUUCAGAGAAAGGUGCCACACUCGCUUGGCUGACAAUGUCGGGGAGUCCCCUGGGCUCCACACCAGGGCGUGUGCCCUUGGAAAACCACGGUGACUGAAUCAUGUCCCUUUCAGCCAAAACUGGAAGACAGCCCAGCUCCCUGCCUUCAGGUGACCAGAUCUCUAAGUCACAUUACUGGCCCCAGGGUCAAGUCCAGGCUCCCCAGCUGGGGUACCUCCCAGGCUGAGUACAGGCCUUGCUCCCUCCUUCCUCCCUGCACGUGCUCUGAGCCUCCAGCCCGACGCCUGGGAUGCCGGUGCCCCUUGGGCCCCAGACCCUACUACUCUUGAGUGACAGGCCUCUUCCUAGGGGUUUCUGUGCAUCCGUCACAUCACCCACGUUAGAGUCCCUUCCUGUGAGGACAGAAGGGCCCUGAAGACAGAGCCGGCCCCUGGUGAGCUCUGCUUUCCCGCACUGACCCCUCCUGGGCUGCAGCUCCCCACCUGGCAGCUGCCGCCCCCCAUGGCCCUGGUCGAGGUCACCUGUCGUUCCCGUCCCCACCACUCACCAAGCGCUCCCAGGUUCUCCGUCUGGAAGACCCUCUGCAGCGGGGGGAUGUAAAUGACCGCCAGCUGCCCCAGGAUGGACCCCAGGACGGAGUAGAGGAACAUGUGGUUCCUGAGAAAGCCGAUCUCAAAUAUCAGCUUGGUCUGCAGGGAGAAGGUCACACGGGGGAUUGUGUGCUGUCCACACCCCAGGUACAGGCAGGGGAGCUCUGACUGCCCACGCUGAGCCAGAGCCGCUCAAUGCUGCGGGCAGGGUCGGGGCGCUGCUGUCGAGAACACACAGCAGCUCUGCAGCGAGGAGGGUCAGCCCGGGUCUCACCUGAGAGCGGCAGGUCAAGGCGUUGAAGAGAUCGAAAAACACAAAACAAGUGAACGUCAUCGUCGUGGUGCGGGGAGUGCUUGCUCUGUCUUCAGGCAUCUGGAAGGUGAGCACAAAGAUGUGAGCUGUGGCAGGAGGGCAGGGACUGCAGUCCCCAGCGUCUGCACCGCACCAGGGCUUGGAGAACAGGCCGGGGUGACCCUCGCUCACCUCCUUCCAGAAGAUAAAGAGGGUCCCGCUGAUGAUGAUGGCCGCGGACAUGAGGAUCUUCAGGAUGAGGGCUCUGCUGAGGAUGGUGUCCCGCACACUCCGUGGUGGCUGCCUGAAGGCGUCUUUGUCAACGGGCUCUACCCCCAAG